UUAAUUGAUUGUUAAGAUUUAUGGUGUAUAAUUAAUCUGUUGCUUCGGCAACUAUGGUAAUAAACGCUUUGAUUAAUAGACGAUGUGGACUCGGGGGCAGAGCCCGACAUCUCCACCACUUUAUUUUGGGGAUGAAUAGAUUCGACGCACGUUGAAAAGCAUAGCUUUUACCCGUGAUGGUUUACGUUACAGAACUAAACAAUAUAAAUGCGAACGAUAAUUUUGUCGCAUGCAACGAUAAUUUUGCAAAGGAAGCUAUUGCUUUCGCUGCUUAAUUAAGUAGACGCGGUUAGGGGGAGCCGGGCAACAGAAAUCCCCCAUA
rnacentral:tmRNA from 1 species